UACGUAGGUGGCAAGCGUUGUUCGGAAUUACUGGGCGUAAAGGGCUCGUAGGCGGCCAACUAAGUCGGAUGUGAAAUCCCCAGGCUUAACCUGGGAACUGCAUUCGAUACUGGAUGGCUUGAAUUCGGGAGAGGGAUGCAGAAUUCCAGGUGUAGCGGUGAAAUGCGUAGAUAUCUGGAGGAAUACCGGUGGCGAAGGCGGCAUCCUGGACCGACAUUGACGCUGAUGAGCGAAAGCUAGGGGAGCAAACGGG
rnacentral:rRNA from 1 species